CGGGUGGUCUUCCCUCUGGAGCUCCGGCUCUUCAACACCUCCAGCGAUGCUGUCAACCUGGACCGCAUGUAUGACCUGGUUGCUGUCGUCGUUCACUGUGGAAGUGGUCCUAACCGUGGGCAUUACAUCACCAUCGUGAAAAGUCAUGGCUUUUGGCUAUUGUUUGAUGACGACAUCGUAGAGAAAAUAGAUGCUCAAGCCAUUGAGGAAUUCUAUGGUCUAACGUCAGACAUAUCAAAAAAUUCAGAAUCUGGAUAUAUUUUAUUCUAUCAAUCAAGAGAAUAACUUGGUGGAGCGUGAGACUAAUUCAAGCAGGGAGAUACUCAAAGCACUAGAGCCUUGUUUCUCUGCAGACCUCCCUUCCCCCCAGCGGCCCACUGAUGUUAUCACUCUGAUGCCCACUGUUCUGGCAGUGUUAAACUUCCUUCCUUCGUGUUUUUACAUGCAGCACUACUCCUGGUUCUGUUUUGGUCUGAGGUAGAGUUAACUGCGGUCAGAUUAUAGUUGGAUUUGUAACUGUUGCUAAUUUUAAGAUUGGGGUGAAUGUUAUGCCGUUUGUCAUGUCUGACUAAACUAGAGUGAUAUCGCCUGUAAAUGUCAUGGUCCAUACUGAGUGUUUGGUAGGCUUCCUGAAUGGUUUCUGGGGCCUCCUUUCCAUGCAUUCCUUCGAUAGGUCCCUGGAAGCAUUGCUACCGUUGUUAGCAUGCCUGUCUCCUCUGAUGGGAGGAGUUGGGUAGAUAGAUAUUCAUCUGUUAGGGCUGCAACCAUAGCUUUAAGUUUGUGCUAGUGAAAAUGUUUUAAAGUGAGUGGCCUAGAUGCCGAAAUCAUCCUCCACAUUGGAGCAAGGUGAGGUAGGGCUGUCAUUGGUGGCCGGUGUUUGCACCCAGCUGUGCUUACCUAGCUGGUAGAAUCCCAGGGGCUAAGGCACUGUGGAGCUCAGGGCAGGCAAAGCCAAGAGGAAGAUGUUUUUGUGGUCAGUGAAAAGUUACUUAUCUUUCUACCAAAAGCCACAUUUCAGGAAAAGAGCGCAAUGCUGUUCAUUUUUAGUAAUACUUUUCUUCCAUUGGGUCCUGUAGUUGUAUUUUUCUCCUAUUUGGUACCACUAGGCUUUUCAAGCUGCAUUUCCUGUACUGUGGAUGUUUUGCAUUGAGUGGUACCAGGGCUGAGACACCAGCUGACUGCCUCUGGCAGGUCUCUCUCUAGCCAGUCAACACCAACAUCUGCCCUAGAUGAGGAAGAUGAAUCAAAAAACUCUGUUCAGCAGAUUAUACUGCUUCCUCCUCCUCUUCCUCCUCCUCUCCUCCUUUCUCUUCCUCCUCCUCUUCCUCCUCCUCUUUCUUCACAUUCAGUCUGUUUAAGGAGGCACUGGUGAGUCCCAGGGAUGAAACAUUACUCUCCCUGAAGGGAAUGCUGGAGUUAGUGGAGUGUGUGGUGGAUCACAGGAAGUGUUAGGAGGUGGGCGGAGGGCUAAGAUGGCGGCUGUUUCUCUGGCUCAGAUUCCUAGAAUGCUUGACAAGACAGUUUCCUGGAAGAACCUCGUCUUACCAUUUUCCCCUUUUGUUAUAUGUGUAUUUAUUAGAGCAUUUGCAUAUUGGCACCUUUUAUUAAAAGGGUUGAUUUGGUGUCUUGCCAUCGAAUGGAUCUUGGUUUUCCUACAAAUACUAUGAGUCAUAGUCCUUAGCUUCCUUUGGGACGUCAGUUGACUUCCACACACUAUAAUAUACUGUGAACGUGUUACGUUGUGACGUAAUACGUCGGCGAAUGAACAUGCAAACUCUUGGCGUAAUGUGAACUGAAACUGCAGUUGAAAAUGUCAGUGGCCAUUUUGCAGCAACGAAGAGGAUAGCACUUUAUCUAGGUGAAAACUGGACUUCUCAUUUCUGAAAUAUCUUGAAUUGUUUGUGACUCAGAACUUAAGCAUGCUGACGCUUCCUUCGUUCAUGCUUGAAGGGACAUGUUUCAUUCUUCAUUGGAGCAGACAAAACAGGGUUAUGUCAUGUUACUCUCUUAUGCAAGUGACGAAAACGGACCUUGCCUUGGUUAGAGGCAAUGCAUAUUUAUAAAUAUUUUGUCUUUUUUUCCCCUCCAUGGAGCAUAUUUAUUAAUCACUUACGUUGGAGGUGAACCUUCAUUCUUCGAGGAGAGGCACUUUUCAAGUAUAAGUGAUUGAUGGCCUGAGGUGUUCGGACACAUACAGCCAUAUACUUGACUGUGAGUUACAAAGGUUAAGAAAAUGGCUACUGGUUUCUAAUAUAUUUGGAACUGAUCAUAGAACAAAACCUAUUAAAACUAUCUUUGAAACAACUCUCGCAGCUAAUUUAUUAGACAAAGAAAAAUGUUUCCAUUGGAAGUCCAAAUGCUAUUUUAAGGUUCUUUUCUUUCUUUUUCUUCCUUCCUCUUGAUUCUGUGAGCAUGUAAAGUUUUCCCCAGCAACAUAACCAAAGUCAUUGCUUUUAAUGGAAAAAGUAAGUUAAAAUUCAGAAUUCACGAAGAGGUUUUGGAACAGAAGGAGAUGAGGGUGAGGCUAUUGCACUGACAUUCAGUUGGUUGUUUGGUGCCUGAAUAGAAGCCUGGAGAAGACCAAGACUCUAUCAACACUCCAUUGGUUUUUCAAACGUAGAACUAUCUGGUAAUGACUUAUCUCUUUGUCAGUAAAGAAAACACCAGGCAGCUCUGUCCCAACCCCCAUCUUCUUUUUUUUUUUUCCAUAGAGAAGUCAUAUUCUAACUUACUAUCCCUGGUUCCUAGCAUUAAGCAGGGAAUGACAGAGGCUGUGGGACAUAGGAGACCAAUUCCAGGUCACAGAGAUAGCACAAAGACCCAGCAACAGUCCCCAAGGGGGGUUCAUAUGCCCUUUCUCCAGCAGGAGUGAGUAAGCCUGCUGAAUUUUUCUUAAUUUCUGUAAAAGCUGGGUAUUUAAAAAGAAAAGUGUCUUUCAAGAGACUAAAAAUUUUUUAAAAAAACAAAAUGUUUCUUUUAUCGGUUAUUUGCUACUUUAACGUCUAGAGUAUGGUGCAGAAUGGUAAAUCUUUUGUUUCAAAGCAAACGUUAGUCAAAUGGUGGUGUGCAUAGUCUUACUACAUUGAUGCAGCUUUUUCCAUUCCAAGGCAUCAUCAGGUAGACUGACUUGAGGAGAGCCAGGAAUACAAUCAGGGUGUCAGUCAGAAUAGGAAGCCAUUCCCACAUGGCUUUGUGUCCUGAUUAUAUUUUGGGCUUGACGUAAGAUGGGAAAUGAUAGAAAUGGUCCCUGUGCGUUGUUUUCACGGGAACCCUUAAUCUAAUGGGCAUGCCUAACUUGAAAGUCUGUUCUAACUGGCGCUUAAGGCUUAUUUUAGAUACUGGAGUGUAGCUUUAUUAUGGAUGGAGUCUAUCUUUUAAACAUUUCAUUUUGAUCAACUUUGUAUAUUCAUGUGUAUUAAAAUAUCGUGCACUAAAUGUCCCCCACCCCAUCCCCCAGUUUGCUGUAUCUGGUCAGGGCAUUUGCCAGCACCGAUGUGAUUAGCUCAUGUAAAUGGCAUGGGCCAGAGAAAAUUAUUGCCUAUUUUUCUGCCUAAUUAAAUUUCUGUUUUCUAGUAUUACAUUAAUUUAUUUUUGACUCCUAUUUCUGUAACCAAAAUAGUUACUGUAUGUGUGUGGCAUUCACUUGAUUUUGUCACUUAAAAAAGAAAAAAAAAGCCUGUAGUUUUUAUUUAAAAUCAGUAU
rnacentral:lncRNA from 1 species